UGCCCUAAACUCCUUUCAUUUCUUCUGAAAUUUCCUUCUCUGUUCAGUUCUCUCUCUCAUCGCCGAACUCCUCCUGGUUUGACCGACGUCCUGGCCGCCGGCUGCGUCUGCCAUGGGAGUUUAGUUCGACCUUAAUCAACUCAUUUCAUCUCACGAUGAUAUCAGGCACACAAUCAAAACUGAAACAUGGUUUUAGUGUUACAGACUUGUGUACACUAUACUUUUGGAAUAAAA